GGUGGGAUUCACAUUGAACGUGGCAAUGACCAUGUCUUCUCCACCAAGUACCCCUCAGCUGCCCCAGGGGAAACUGGAAAUAGAGCAAAGGAGUGCCACGAGACAUGCUGGGAGGAGGAAGAUGCCAGAGAGACCACUCUGUACCCGCAGCCCUGGUGAUAUGCUCAGAGUGGGGCACAGAUCGGAGCUGUGAGUGCCGACCCUUGCCGACUGGUCAAGAAG
rnacentral:lncRNA from 1 species